rnacentral:ncRNA from 1 species
GUUUAAUCUGCUUCUUGACAUGCCACACCUGUCAGGUGUAUGGAUUAUCUUGGCAAAGGAGAAAGGAGAAACUCUCACUAACCGUAAACAAACUUCUGACCCAAAUUUGAGAGAAAUCAGCUUUUUGUGCAAUUUAUGGGAUCUUCUAUGAAAAUUCAUGAAAAUAGGUAAAAUUGGUAAAAAAAAGAGUGAUAGAACACAUGUAAAGACUUCAACAUAGGAAUGACCAAUAUCAAUAUUCAGACUAUGGUGUCACUGCAACCUCCCCAACUCUGAAAAACAAGAGUACAACUUCGUAUUGUGCCGCUAGAGGUGAAAUUCUUGGACCGGCGCAAGACGGACGAAAGCGAAAGCAUUUGCCAAGAAUGCUUUCAUUAAUCAA